GGUUUCCGUAGGUGAACCUGCGGAAGGAUCAUUACCGAGUGCGGGAACCCAGUCGGGUCCCAAUCUCCCACCCGUGUCUACCACACCUAGUGUUGCUUUGGCGGGCCCACUCCUCCGGUGUUCCGCCGGGGGGGUCGUCCCGGGGCGCGGUGUGCCCCCGGGGCCCGUGCCCGCCAGAGGCACUCACUGUGAACGCUUUUGUGAAUGCGAGGAUUGUCUGAGUGACGAAAUGCAAUCGUUCAAAACUUUCAACAAUGGAUCUCUUGGUUCCGGCAUCGAUGAAGAACGCAGCGAAAUGCGAUAAGUAAUGUGAAUUGCAGAAUUCCGUGAAUCAUCGAAUCUUUGAACGCACAUUGCGCCCUCUGGUAUUCCGGGGGGCAUGCCUGUCCGAGCGUCAUUGCGAACCCUCAAGCACGGCUUGUGUGUUGGGCCGCCGUCCCCUCGUUUGGAGGGGACGGGCCUGAAAGGCAGCGGCGGCGUCGCGUCCGGUCCUCGAGCGUAUGGGGCUCUGUCACGCGCUCAAGGAGGGGUCCGGCCGGGGCCAUAGCCUCUGAAGGUCAAUUCUUCCAAGGUUGACCUCGGAUCAGGUAGGAGUACCCGCUGAACUUAAGCAUA
rnacentral:misc_RNA from 1 species